AUGUUUUUAAAUGACAUAUAGAUGUUAAUAAUUGCUGUAUGUGUCGUGAUGUCUGUGCAAAGAUUUGAUCUGCUUGACUCGCCCAUUACAGAGGACAUAGGAACCGGCGACUUCAUUCUUGAGAAGUUUGAUGGAUCUGUUGCAGAAGGAGGAACCAUCAACCUGACCUGUAUAUAUGAUGGUCUUAUCAACAACAUCCAGUGGUACCGACAAUACCAGAGAUCCAGACCAGAGUUCCUGCUCUACAUCAUGGAGGGAGGAUCAGUUCAUCAAACUGUGUCGGGUUUCUCGGCUCACACUGACCAAACUAAGAAAAGUGUAGAUCUGGAGAGCUCUGGAUUUAAUGACUCUGCUGUGUACUGCUGUGCUGUCAAGCCCACAGUGACAGGGAACACCAGAACUGUAUAA